UACGGGGGGGGCAAGCGUUGUUCGGAAUUACUGGGCGUAAAGGGCUCGUAGGUGGCCAACUAAGUCAGACGUGAAAUCCCUCGGCUUAACCGGGGAACUGCGUCUGAUACUGGAUGGCUUGAGAUUGGGAGAGGGAUGCGGAAUUCCAGGUGUAGCGGUGAAAUGCGUAGAUAUCUGGAGGAACACCGGUGGCGAAGGCGGCAUCCUGGACCGACACUGACGCUGAGGAGCGAAAGCCAGGGGGGCAAACGGG
rnacentral:rRNA from 1 species